rnacentral:ncRNA from 3 species
UGCUUAUCAAGAGUGGUGGAGGGAUCUGGCCCGUUGAACCCCGGCAACCUGCUUAGCAAGGUGCUAAUUCCAGCAAAGUGUGUAUCAUUUUGAAAGAUAAGGU